UUGUGUGAAAAAACAAUGUCUGGAAUGAGAGAAAUUGUGUCUGUGGUGUCUGGGAGAGAGGAUGGUGACGGUGAGCGUGCUGUUGUGGAUGCGAGUGAUAGAGCAUGUGUGAGUGAGCGUGCUGUUGUGGAUGUGAGUGAUAGAGCAUGUGUGAGUGAGCGUGCUGUUGUGGAUGUGAGUGAAAGAGCAUGUGUGAGUGAGCGUGCGGAUGAUGUGUCUGAGUGUAGUGGUGGCGUGGAGAGGAGAGGAGGAGUAAAGUCUGAGCAGGUCCAAUCGCAAGACAAAGUGGUUGGACAAUAUCGGACUCUGGCAGUGGCAGCCACACAUCUGAGUCUGAGAGUCUGCACUCAGUGGGAGUCCCACCAGCCAAAAAACAAAGAGGGACGAAAUUCACGGAGGCUGAGAACGUAGCACUGGUGGCUGCUGUUAGCACAGAAAAAUCUGUGUUAUUCAACACGACAGUGGGCACCCAGGAGAAGAUAGCCGCCUGGAGCCGGGUGAGGGAGAAAGUGUCCCAAGUUGGAAGUGGCACAGCGGAUAGGACAGUUCUCUGCAUCAGGCAUCGGUACUAUGACUGCAGGGCAUCAGUAGUUAAAAAAAUAAAAAAAAGCAGCAGCAGAGGAGGAACAUCACCUUCAAGAACUGGGAGCUGGAGUUGAAGAAGCACCUCCUGCCAGAGGCUCAGACAUCUGAGGCAGAGAGAUCUGGGUUAGAUGACAAGAACACAACUGUUCACCAGCUAUCCCCAGUCCACCCAGUCCACUAUCUCCAACCCCAGCACCCGCAUCUGUCCCAAUGGACACGUACCUUAGGGUACUCCAAGAAAGGGACAGGUUGUCCAGGGAG